GACAGAGGUUGCAAACGUUGUUCGGAAUUACUGGGCAUAAAGCGCACGUAGGCGGUCCGUUAAGUCAUGUGUGAAAUCCCUCGGCUCAACCGAGGAAUAGCGCCUGAUACUGGCGGGCUAGAGGUCGAUAGGGGUAAGCGGAACUCCAGGUGGAGCGGUGAAAUGCGUAGAUAUCUGGAGGAACACCGGUGGCGAAGGCGGCUUACUGGAUCGAAACUGACGCUGAGGUGCGAAAGCUAGGGUAGCAAACGGG
rnacentral:rRNA from 1 species